ACUAAGGAGGGCAUACCCCAUAAAGUGGCUGCUGCUGCUCAGCUUUCUCAGAGCGCAGGCCCUGCCUUGCCAGACUGUCUGAUAUUUUUCAGAGGCCAGAACUCCGAAUUUUUAUGUGAAAUAUCUGAUUUUGAAAUGUUGGCAGUCGGUUCAGAAAAUUUAAAAACCCAACGUGAAAGAGAAUGCCAAUUUGUAAUCUCUGAAGGAGAGCGAGCUUGUGCUGGGGAGAAGUCCACAGAGAUACUUAGAGGUGGCUGUGAAAGUUCUAGGCCUCCUGGAGCAGCCUGGGCCGGAGCAGCUUCCUCGUCACCGAGGCCCCUCCCAGAGUGGGCAGCUGCCCGUGUUCAUCCUGCUCACUCUCCCUGCAGACCAGAGACAGAUCAGAGACCCCCUGCAGCUGCUGUGUCAGCAGAGGGAGGGGAGCAGAAUAGAGAGAGUGUGGGCCUCAGCCUGGCAGGGCGAUGGAUGGUGCCUGAGAGAGAAGGAGGGAGGGAGGGACAGGAUGCCUGUGCUGAUGUGAGUGCCUGUCAGGGAAGGCACCAGGGGCUGGCAGCUCUUCCAACCAGCAGCUCUCGGCCUAGAGCCAGGCCCAGGAGCAAGGCCAGCUGGUCAGUCCCUUGCCUCGCCAACUUCCUAAUGGGGUCAGUGGGCCCUGGGGAGGUGCCCGACCUUCCCCAGUGCCACACCCCUGCCAGACCAAUCUGAGGGGCAUUGUGACCCCUGACUCACCAUCCCAUCCCAUCCCAGCUUUCGGGGAGCACAGAUGGUGGUCCCUGUCUUUCCACAUUCGCCUGAGGCAGAGAUGGCUCACUUUGGGAGGCAUGAGGCUGAAAACGAGGCCUUUUCUGGGUCUGAAAGUGGGUGUUCCCUGUGGGCUGUUCAUAGGCAGGGGAGUGGCCCCAGAUGCCCCUGCGCACGACAGUGCUUGAGGUGAAGAGGUGUGUGAGGGAGCUGGGGUCAGGGAGCUGGGGAAGCUGCUCCUGUGGGGGAGCCCAGAAGCCUCUGACUCACAGGCUCCCUCCCGCAGUCUUGGGGAGGAGGAAGCCGAAUGAAGCCCCGUCCCCUACUGUGUCUGCCAGCGAGGGAGCUGAUGACCCCACACGCAUAAGCCCCUAGCACUCCCCUUCCUAGCGGAGACCUCGGCCUGUGGGGACCACCACAGGAGAUAGUGGUGCUUUUUAGUUUAUUUUUAACUGUUUCUCAUAUGUAGCAACCUCUCCUCCCCACGCGGGCGGGCGUGUUUACACGGGCUCUGCUCCCUGGGGCUGCCUGGCUGCAGAGUUUCCGGGGACACAGAGGCAGGGACUUUGGGGCCUUAGUCACCAUCACCUCAUCUCACUUCCCGUGAGGGACAGGGGCUCGCUCCCCCACCCCCUACCCGGCUCAGGACUGCCUUCUAGCACUCAGCCAGGCCCCUCUGCUCGUGGGGUGGGGGCUGCCGGCUGAGGAGGGGCCAAGGUGAGGUCAGAGGAAGCGGCUUGAGGGUGGGUCGCAUGGGGGUGAUCACGUGGUCUCCCCAAAGCCUGGCUCCUGUGCUGAGGGCUGGGUCAGAACACUGGGAAGCUGGGUUAGAGAGCCUUCCCAACCACCUGACUGCCGGUCCUCUCCCUCCCAUGGCCUCAGCACAUUGUCACGUCCCCUCACCCAUCACGCCAGCCACCCCAUCCUUCCUGGGCGUGGCCAAGGGGGGAUAGCAGCAGCCCCCGGCCCAAGGGCGCGAUGAUGAAGCCUAGGGCUCUGAGCAGAAGAAAGAGCCUGAGGUUGGCCUUAUCUGGUUUCCAGCCCUCUGUGUCAUCUCAUGCCCCACCCCUUCCAGCUUCGACUUGACUUCCUGGCUCUGGGACAGUCUGAUUCUGGCCAGUAGUGUGCCCAGAGGCCUGUGUGCCCCUGUGCGCCUGGUUCUCUGCUGGGAUGUUUUCUGGUUUAGCUGUGUUGCAUCCCCAGGCCCACCCUCUGGCUUCAGAAUGCAGGGCCGUGCGAGCUGGGCCUGCAUAUUGACUGUGUUCUUUGUGCAAGAGCUCGACUGUGUUGAAAUCCCCACGUCCCUGUUCCCACUGAGUACCGGGUGUGCAGGGCAGGGAGAGGAGUGUGCGUUGGGAGGCAGGAGGUCUGUUCCAGGCCAGGCAGCACUGCCCAGUGCUAGCUGCCAGUCCGUCAGGAUUGACUCCUUGCCCCGUCUUGGUGCUCCGGAGUCCGAGUUUCCCUUCUUAAAGCCUGAUGAGAGAUGCAGCCAGUGUGUUUGUCCCGGAGACCUGGUGAUGGCGCCGCCCCCUCCCUUAACUUUGUGUUGGGCUGCGUGUGGUCCUAGGCUUUGUUCUUCUCAUAUCAGUAUUGCCCUCCCCUUUCACCUUUACACUUCGUCUCAUUCCUGUUCUCACUUUCCCCUGAAAUGAAUAAAGUACCCCCAGCUCCGCUGUGUGCGCUGGGCGGAAACCACUGCAUACGUGUAAGCCUCGUCUCCUUUCUUCUGGAAGCUGGGGCUGGAGCCCGGCCCACUGGUAGCUCUAGGAAGAACGUGACCAGAGGUGAGGGGAGCCCCAAACCAGCCAACAGAAAACCUCGCAGCCCCCGCAGUCACAAUGAAGCUUCUUGGGCCCCAGACUGUCACCCUCAGCCUGCCGAAGCCGCUGAGCUCUUGUUAAUCCUGAUCUGGAGAUCCUUCCUGCUGGCUGUAAAUGAACCCCUUCUCCCUCACACAGCCAGCUUGGCCGGAGGCCGGAGUCUGCUCCCAGGAUGCAUUCCAGAGCCCUGCUCUUCCUGUCCUAGUCCCCAGCAGUCCUUCGGGAACAGAGGAGGAAGGGCUAACGGCAUGUGCCUGCCUGCUUUAGGCGUGUGACUGAUUUGGGUGGGACCUUUGGAUGGAGGCGGCACUUUUCAGAGGCCUGAACGUGCAGAGGUUGAAGCUCUGCCACCACCAUCUGCCAGGAUCUGACAUCUUGACCGCUACCGUGGAGGGCAAUGGUGACAAGAAGCGGUGGUCACAUCAAAGGCAGAGCUGCCUGGCCCAGAUGCGGGCUGCUGAGGGUUUGCCAGGGGGCGAGGGGACCAGCUGCUGAGGCCCGGCAGGUGGCGGAGACGGG
ensembl:lncRNA